CAAAUAAACUCCUGAAUUAGUGGAGUAAGUUACGCACAUCAAGGCUGUAAAUUAGCUUUGUCCUAUUGUAUAUAUUGUAAAGCAGAAGGCAAAGCAAUUACGAACCACAACCAACAAUCUAAAUACAAUUCACAACACCUCAUUCAAAAAAAAAAACCUAAAGCCACACCAAAUAUUGGUAAAAUUAGUACAAUGAAAAAUCAAAUUCAAAGCUAAACAAAUCAGUCCAAAUUAGACGAAAUAUCAGUAUGAAUAGUAAGGCUCCCAUCAGAGCACAAAAGAACGUAAGCAGAAAAAUCUUCACCACCACAACGGCGACGAUGGCAUCGGCGUCAACGGAAGUAGCAGCCGGAAAGCCACUGCAAGGGGAAGAAAAUCACCAUCUUUGUUCGAACAUACGACUUGCGCAACACCGAUGUUAAAUACCCCAUCACAAUUUAAGGACAAAUUAAUAUCCACCAAGAUACAGAAGAUCAAAAGAAUUGGUACAUCUCCGUCCAGAUCUGGAGAUUUGAACCACACACGAAAACUCGGGUAGGAUAGAAAUUCAGAGAUGUGGGUAGUUUUGCCAUUUUUGCAGAUGUAAUAAUGUAUAUUGAGUGGAAAUUAUAGGGAGGAAGAGAGAGAAUGAGUGAGUAACUAUGGUUUGGUGGUUUAGUUUUGUGGUUCUUUUAGGAAAUUGGUGGUUUAGUUUUGUGGUUCUUUUAGGAAAUGAGAGAGACGUGGUAAGCAGAGUUCAGUUGUUGACCAUACAGUUGUGAGGCAAUUACCGGUAAUUGGUUUCCAUUUUUCAAGUCAAUUCUCAUUUUUUAUUUUUAUAUUUACUUUGUGGUAAAGAUCAGUAUCCAAUAAAAUAACUUCCUGGCUUUUUGAUUUUUUUUAAUUUAAUGAUAAUGAUAUUAUUGUCUGUAUUGUAUUAUGGUGAAAACUUCAUCCAUGUGUUUAUUUAGCUUUCUAAGCUUUUCUUCCUAUAAGGCAAAGAGUAACAAUGUAGUAUCUCUAUUAUAUAAGCCAGCUCCUGAGGGCUUUUAAGUAAAUUAACUUUUCGUGUCCCCAAAGAAAUUUACAAUAACACUUCACACUUUCACCCAGCUACAAGUAUGUUGUAUAAACAGAUUUUGUAAUUUUGAAAACUGAGCUACAUCCCUCUAAUAUCUCGCCCAAAUCAGGAAAGGGAUUUAAAAAUCCCUAUAAUCUCUCCCUUUAACCUCUCAGCUCACGUCAUUAAAGAAAAAUAACCAAAUAAAAUUACAAAUUGAUUACAGUUUCCAAAACAAAAUCCCUACAAUCUCUCACCUCUCACGUCAGGGACAAAAAUCAAACAAAAUUAUAAAUUGAUUACAUUUUCUAAAACUACUAAUUAUCUUUUUUCUCAUUCAUCAAAUCACUGUAAACUGAGUUCCAUUAGAGAGUUCGUUGAUAGCAAGCUCCACCACCGCCAAUACAGGUUUUACGAUUUGAAGUUCACCACGCAUACAAUUACCAAUGACACAAGUUUCAUCCCGGGAAGAAUGUUGGAAUUGGCAAGGACCAUACAAUCUUUGCUCUAAUUGAUGGAUUAGUGAAAUUUGAGAAGUAUGGUCCUGACAAGAAAAAGGUGAGUGUUUAUCCACGAGAAAUACAGCCUGAAAACCCCAACAGCUACAAAGCAAGAAGAGAAGGAUAUUCUUUCCAAUCACAGCUAAUCCUGGCAUCUGAUGCCACUGAUAAUGCUGAUGAAAG